ensembl:snRNA U6 U6 spliceosomal RNA
UUGCCCACUUUGGCUGCACACAUAAUAGAACUGAAAUGAUACAGAGAAGAUUAGCAUGGCCCCCCAUAAGGAUGACACACAAAUUUGUGAACUGUUCCAUAUUUUU